rnacentral:misc_RNA from 1 species
AAGUCGUAACAAGGUUUCCGUAGGUGAACCUGCGGAAGGAUCAUUACCAAAAAAAACACUUGUAAAAAAAACUUAUGUUUUUUUUUCAAACCCAAAACUGUGAACAUUAUAACAUAACAAUUCUUUACACUUUUUGUUUAUACUAUUAUUGUUUUUACUUUAAAAUAUUAUAAUGAUAUUUUAUACAACUUUCAGCAACGGAUCUCUAGGCUCUU